AUCCAGUCCUCCAUCAUGGGUGUAGGUGCAGUUCAUGCUUGGAACUGGCCUUGCCCCUUAGUAAUCUCACUGGUUGGAAAGGGGUAUAAAGUAGCAAAACAAAAAAGUAUGCUCGUGUUGUUACUGGUAGUGGUAUAUUGGCAAUGCCAUAUAAUUCAUGAAAAAGGAGUGACGUUUUUGACACAAGAUUUCAAUUAUGUAUAUUUUUACAAUACAGUAGAACCUCGGAUAACGACCACAAUCCAUUCCGAAAAGUGGGUCGUUAUCUGAAAUGUUUGCUAUCCGAAACAAUUUUCCCCAUAAGAAAUAAAGGAAAUAGAAAUAAUUGGUUCCCAGCCC
rnacentral:lncRNA from 1 species